AAUCCGGUCAACCCUUUCUUCCCCAACCUCACGCACAGCCCCCUUCCUCUUUUCUUUUCUUCUUUUCCCUUCUUCUUUCCUUCAGCUUUCUUCUUUCUUCUCAACCAAACUGAGAGACCGACUGACAGAGAGAGAUUGAGAGUGAGAGAGAGACCGAGAGAGAGAGGCAGAGAACCGAGAGAGAGAGUGACGGAGUAGAAGAGAAACCCAGAGACCCGUAGCAGACCCGAGCCGAGACCCGUGAACCCGUGAGGCCGAUAGAACCCGAUCGGUGUGCUGGGUCAUCGGAGGUCCGAUCUUUUAGCGAUUUCCGGUGGUUCCAGUGGAUUUCCGGCGAAGACCCACAACCCAUUGAACCCGUGAGUGAAACCCGUGACCGUGAGACCCAAGACCCAGAACCCGGUUCUCUAUGGGUGUUUCCCGGCGACUGUCAGUGGUGUUUUCCGGCGGUCCAGUAGCGGUUUCCGAUGGAUUUUCUAGGAAAAUCCUGUAGGAUUGUGUUGUAAUUGGAGACUUCAAUGGUUCUCCAAGGUAGAGUUCGAGUAAUUGGAAUCCAGUGGGAGUUCGAGUCAGGAGUCUAAUGCAGCCAAGAUGAUGUUUCUUUGGCUGCAGGUACUUCGGUAUAGUCGAUGGGUCGGUAGCAGUGUGCUUGGGAUAUUAUGACUGAAGCUCGCCGCGACAGUUGUAAUUGUCGGACCACGGGUUGUCCACUAUUUUAUAGGUUUGGUAUGGCUUGUGACGUUUGUGUCACUUAUUCUUUGUUAAGCCAUUAUUGUUAUAGUGUUAAUAAGACUAAAACAGAUAGAUGUUAAAUGGCUCUUUGUUGUAAUUAACUUGUGAUAGAUGUAUAAGUUGUAAUUUCCGCUAUUCAGAUUUAUGUUUUCCGCUGCAUAGAUAGAUGUAUGUUAUACUCUGAUUAUCAGGUACAUGUUAUGGGGCAUGUGCCAUAUGUUGGCUGAGCGACA